UUUGAUGUCGAAAAUGACAGGCAAAUUCAUUCUUUCCAGGGGCAUCCUGGAGUGGUGAACUACCUGUGUUGGGAUCUCAAUGGUGAGUUACUGGCAUCAGUCAGUGAGGAGUCUGUCAAAGUGUGGUCAUUGGCCACCGGUGACUGCAUUCAUGAGCUAAGUUCUACUGGGAAUCAGUUUCACUCGUGUGUUUUUCAUCCUAGUUAUCCUGCUCUAUUGGUGAUUGGAGGAAUG
rnacentral:misc_RNA from 1 species